rnacentral:rRNA from 1 species
AUUGAACGCUGGCGGCAGGCCUAACACAUGCAAGUCGACCGAGUGGCGGACGGGUGGGUAAUGUCUGGGAAAAUGCCCGAUGGAGGGGGAUAACUACUGGAAACGGUAGCUAAUACCGAAUAACCUCGAAUGUGGCCAUAUGGGAUUAGCUAGUAGGUGGGGUAAUGGCGCACCUAGGCGACGAGCCAUAGCUGGUCUGAGAGGAGGACCAGCCACACUGGAACUGAGACACGGUCCAGACUCCUACGGGAGGCAGCAGUGGGGAAGAUUGCACAAUGGGCGCAAGCCUGAUGCAGCCAUGCCGCGUGUAUGAAGAAGGCCUUCGGGUUGUAAAGUACUUUCAGCGAGGAGGCGUUACUCGCAGAAGAAGCACCGGCUAACUCCGUGCCAGCAGCCGCGGUAAUUC